UUAUUGCGUUGCAGUAUUUUAAUCGUCGUUAUAAUAAUGCAUUAAGUGAAAUUUAAAUUAAAAGAAAAUACCUAUUUGAGAAUUAGAGAGGGAUUACAUGACUAGGAAGGUUGAGUUUUAAAGUCAUUCUCUCUUAUUUCAAGUUUUUGUUUAGUGGGUAAUUGUGCUUUUCUGGCUUAAAAAUAAUCUUUGUUGUACAAACUGCUUUGGAUCUUUUAUUAAAGAUUGGUGAUUUUCGAAUAAGUAAUUUUUAAAUACAUUUAUUAUUCUGCUUUCUGUGACAAUGUACCAAGGAUUAAAACAUCUUGACACAGCAAAUCUAAAUACUAAAAGUACCUAAUUUUUGAAGUCUAAGGCUGUGCUCAGGGCCUAAGAUUAAUGGUUUCAUUUAGAAAAAUUUAAUGACAGUUGAAUAUUUGUUAAAUUCAAUGAAAUUUUAUUCACCGAUUAACUUGCCUUACAAAGACUUCAUACCAAAUGAUGUUGAAAAAAAUGGUUCAAGCUAGUAAAUCCAAAUCAAUUGAAAGAUUCUGCUUUUAGAAAGGCGUAAAAAGGCUUCUUCUAAGGUACCCAGCUUCACCCUAUACUAAUUUUAGUAAAUUACUUGCGUGAGCCUUCAUAAUAAAUACUAGGAAAUUCACUU